CUUUGUUCUAUCUAAUUCAAUCUAUCUAAUUAACAUCUGGAAAGUAAUACAGUAUCGUGAUAUUGAUAACGCAAGCAACACAGUAAAUUUGGAUAAGAACAAUUGUGAUAUCGAAUCUUAUUGAUAAAUUUUGUUAUAAAAUCGUUAGAUAUUUACGAUGCAUUUCAUUAAAUUAAUGCACAGUUUAAAGCAAGUUUUAUAUUCGUUUUCUGCUAUUAUUGGUUUUUUUCUAUGCUUAUCAGUAAUACUACCAAUUAGUAAAGCGCAUAUUGAAUUUUAUACGAAAAGUACUACUGAGGAAAAUGUACCAUUUGAUGAUAUCAAUGAAAUAUAUUUAAAUGUAUUUCUGAGAGAAGUUGCAGACAUAAUAAUCAAUGUUUCCAUAUUUAUAAUUAUAUGUUGCUCUGCAAUUAUUGCUGUGAUAAUUACUCUAUGUGCUUGUGAAACGUUCUGUCCAGAUUAUAUUACGCCCAUCAUAGAAUUCAUAGAUGUGUUAGGUAUAAGUCACAGGUUUAGAAAUUACUUCCGCCGGCUUUUUCGCGCGCGUCGAGAGCCUCGUCGUCCGUCAGAUUUGAAUGUUUAUUUUAAUGCAGGCCGCCACUCGUCAGAUGAAGAAGAAGUAGAACGUUAUUAAUUUGGAAAGUUAACAUGGAUGGUUUGUACACGUUAUGUAGUAAAAUAUUACUUAUUUAUGAUAUUAAUAAGAUCUCGUAAGUAUGUCAUCAUGUUCGAAUCUCAAUUUCAAGUUAUUCUGAUAAUGUGUACGUUGCUCCACGAUUAAUUGUUAAGCAAGAAAAUAUAUAUUAUAUAUAAUUAUGUAAUAAUAUAAUCACAA